AAGAGGAAAGCAUACUGUAGGGAGAGGAAGAAGGGGUAAGAGGAAGGAAUAAGAGAAUGAGCGGUACUAAUAAGGGGAAUUUGAGAAAGGCAAGUCCUCAUGAAGCAGACAGUUUGAGAGUUGAGGCAACAUGAAGGGGAAAUGAGAAAAAGAACACAGAGGGAGAGAGAAAAAAACAGAUGAAGAAAGAGUUGGUAGUGACAUAAGGUCCAGUGAGAAAUACACAUGCGGAGAUCAUCAGUUCACCCACACCGAAUCUCACAAAGACACGGCGGUUGGAACCAAAGAUCUCAGAUUUGGACUCCAGACCAAAAGGACACAUUUCCACCAAUCUAAUGUCCAUUGCUCAUGUUUCUUGGCCCAAGCAAGUCUCUUCUUCUUAUUGGUGUCCAUUGGUAGUGUUUUUUUGCAGCAAUUCGACCAUGAAGGCCUGAUUCACACCAUCUCCUCUGAACAGUUGAUGUUGAGAUGUGUUUGUUACUGGAACUCUGUGAAGCAUUUAUUUGGGCUGCAAUUUAUGAGGUUGGUAACGCUACAGCAGAGGUUUCUUUGGGUCUUCCAUUCCUGUGACGGUCUUCAUCAGUGCCAGUUUCAUCACAGCGCUUGAUGGCUUUUUUCGACUGCACUUGAAGAGACUUUCAAAGUUCUUGACAUUUUCCGAAUUGACUGACCUUCAUGUCCUAGUCAGGAUCAAGGCAAAGAUGAACGGAGCAAAAUACAGAGAGAUCCUUGAUGAAAAUCUGCUCCAGAGCGCUCAGGACCUCAGACUGGGGCGAAGGUUCACCUUUUAACAGGACAAUGACCCUAAGCUCACAGCCAAGACAACGAAGGAGUGGCUUCGGGACAAGUCUCUGAAUGUCCUUGAGUGGACCAGCUAGAGCCCGGACUUGAACCCGAUCUAAUAUCUCUGGAGAGAUCUGAAAAUAGCUGUGCAGCAAUGCUCCCCAUCCAACCUGACAGAGCUUGAGAGGAUCUGCAGAGAGGAAUGAGAGAAACUCCCCAAAUAUAGGUAUAUUCCAACCUUGUAGCGUCAUACCCAAGAAGACUCGAGGCUGUAAUCACUGCCAAAGGUGCUUCAAGAAAGUACUGAGUAAAGGGUCUGAAUACAUAUGUAAAUGUGAUAUUUCAGUUA